rnacentral:rRNA from 1 species
GAUGAACGCUGGCGGCAUGCCUUACACAUGCAAGUCGAACGGUAACGGGCCUUCGGGUGCCGACGAGUGGCGAACGGGUGAGUAACAUAUCGGAACGUACCUUUCAGUGGGGGAUAACGUAGCGAAAGUUACGCUAAUACCGCAUAUUCUGUGCGCAGGAAAGCAGGGGACCUUCGGGCCUUGCGCUGAUUGAGCGGCCGAUAUCAGAUUAGCUAGUUGGUGAGGUAAAGGCUCACCAAGGCGACGAUCUGUAGCGGGUCUGAGAGGAUGAUCCGCCACACUGGAACUGAGACACGGUCCAGACUCCUACGGGAGGCAGCAGUGGGGAAUUUUGGACAAUGGGGGCAACCCUGAUCCAGCCAUGCCGCGUGAGUGAAGAAGGCCUUCGGGUUGUAAAGCUCUUUCGGCCGGGAAGAAAUCGCACGGGCUAAUACCCUGUGUGGAUGACGGUACCGGAAUAAGAAGCACCGGCUAACUCUGUGCCAGCAGCCGCGGUAACAC